rnacentral:rRNA from 1 species
CGUGGGUAAACCUGCCCAAGAGAUCGGGAUAACACCUGGAAACAGAUGCUAAUACCGGAUAACAACAGAUGAUGCCUAUCAACUGUUUAAAAGAUGGUUCUGCUAUCACUCUUGGAUGGACCUGCGGUGCAUUAGCUAGUUGGUAGGUAACGGCUUACCAAGGCGAUGAUGCAUAGCCCGAGUUGAGAGACUGAUCGGCCACAUUGGGACUGAGACACGGCCCAAACUCCUACGGGAGGCAGCAGUAGGGAAUCUUCCACAAUGGACGAAAGUCUGAUGGAGCAACGCCGCGUGAGUGAAGAAGGUUUUCGGAUCGUAAAGCUCUGUUGUUGGUGAAGAAGGAUAGAGGUAGUAACUGGCCUUUAUUUGACGGUAAUCAACCAGAAAGUCACGGCUAACUACGUGCCAGCAGCCGCGGUAAU